rnacentral:rRNA from 1 species
AACGAACGCUGGCGGCGCGCCUAAUACAUGCAAGUCGAGCGAGAAGACGUAGCAAUACGUUUGUAAAGCGGCGAACGGGUGAGGAAUACAUGGGUAACCUACCCUCGAGUGGGAAGUAACUAGCCGAAAGGUUAGCUAAUACCGCGUACGCUCCUUGGACUUCGGUUCAGGAGGAAAGCGAUACCGUGGUAUCGCGCUCUUGGAGUGGGCGUCAUGUCCUAUCAGCUUGUUGGUGAGGAACGGUCUCACCAAGGCUUCGACGGGUAGGCUGGUCUGAGAGGACGAUCAGCCACACUGGCACUGCGACACGGG